rnacentral:tRNA from 1 species
GCCCUUGUAGCAUAGCGGUGGUGCACUGCCUUGGUAAGGCAGAGGUCCCGAGUUCAAAUCUCGGCAAGGGCU